AACGCAUCUUGCGCUCCUUGGUAUUCCGAGGAGCAUGCCUGUUUGAGUGUCAUUAAAUUUCUCAACCUCACCAAGCUUUGCUGCUUGGUCUGGCUUGGAUGUGGGGGUUUUUAUGCAGGCUCUGGUUUCACAGAGUCAGCUCCCCUGAAAUGCAUUAGCGGUGCCCCUGUGGUAAACGGCUACUGGUGUGAUAAUUAUCUACGCCGCUAGACGCCCACGUAUAGUGUGCGCUGCUUCUAACGGUCCAUUGACUUGGACAAGCUUAACAAAAAUGACAAUUUUGACCUCAAAUCAGGUAGGACUACCCGCUGAACUUAA
rnacentral:misc_RNA from 1 species